AAUUUUGCAUUUUUUGUAGAUGGGGUUUUGCCAUGUUCGGGCACAAGUGAUCCACCUGCCUCAGCCUCCCAAAGUGUUGGGAUUACAGGCGUGAACCACCUUGUCUAGCCUGGAGUCACUGUUAAUUUCUUCUGUUGGUCCAUGGCAAGGUUUACAGAUGACUUUGUUUGGAAAGCCUGAAUCUGUUUUUAAAAGCAGGGAUGGGGAGUGGGAAAUCACAGUAGUUACUACUUGAGUCUAUUUAGUGGACUAUAAAAAUUACUAUAGCUUCAGUUUAACCUAAUCAGAGCUUGCCAUGAAUUCGAGCCUGCUUGCCUCUCUUCAGGAAAUUAAUCUGGGUCAUUUGACUGUCCCAGUUAAGCAGGUACAUGUUUUAACAGUUUUAAAGGCAAUUGCUGCCUGUAUUUGGUUUUUCAGAGUAUAUACCCGGUUAUCCUUGCCAAUACAUUUAAACCUCUUAGCCUACAGAUCUUUUCUUUUUACCAGCCUCAGUGUUUUGUGUUUUUCAUUUUUUUGUGGAGACAGGGUCUCUAUUUCCCAGGCUGGUCUCGAACUCCUGGCCUCAAGCAGUCUGUCUGCCUCAGCCUCUGAAAGCAUUGGGAUUAAAGGCGUGAGCCACCAUGCCCAGGCCAGCCUUGAUGUUUAUUAAUCCUUUUCAGUGACAGUCUCACUCUCCCUCUUUCUUUCUCUAGUGAUUCCUUCCUCUGACGCCUGCUCUUACAAUAGGCGUCCCUGCGAGAAGAGUCACCCAGUGGCAUCAAGAGCUCUGGGCAGGAUCCGUCCACUUCCAGAGUGGCCUGAAGAGUGGAACACAUUUCUUUUUAGUUAAAUGAGUUUCUUCGAUAUGGCUCAUUCAUUCGGCACAUGUGCUGGGUGCCUACUGUUUGCUGGACACUGCGGAGCCUGGUGGAUGCUGGGGGAAGCAGAUGGGUCUGGUCCUGGCCUCCAGGAGCUUACUAGUUAAAUGUGGGAGUCAUUGCUAAUCAUUUACGAAUACAAACAGAAGCUUGCACGAGUAACCCAGGUCCGCAAGGAACUGAAAUCCCAUAUUCAGAGCUUGCCAGACCUCUCACUGCUGCCCAACGUCACAGGGGGCUUAGCCCCCCUGCCCUCUGCUGGGGACCUGUUUUCAACUGACUAGGAUGGGUGUCAUGUCCCAGAUUUCUGUUUGUACCAGCAGAAAGAAGAGGGCAAGUCAUGGUUGGAAAUAACCUUCUAGCCCCUGGUUCUAUCCCUUCUUCCGCCCAGCCCCCCAGCCUCAAGAAAGAACCUCAGACUCUGAUUCUCCUCUUCAGCCUCUCAUCUUGAGCACAGUUCAGAACAGUGGCGACUGGAAUCUGGUUUAUAUUCAUAUUUGCAAAGACUACAGACUUUUUCUCCCACUUCAUAUUUUCAUGCCCCCCUGUUGGUUUUCCAUUCUUAACUGUCUCCUUAUACCUAAGAAGUUAUGAAAAUCAUGUGUACUUCUGGAAGCUUUCGAAAGAAUCUUGUCCCUCAUGACAGCAUUUUAUCAUGAAAGCAGCUUCUCCUUUCUGGGCUGGGCUUGUUCAAGUUCGGUGUGGGCUUCCACUAAGGCACUUGUCCUGGAGACGUUGGCUUUCCCAGCUGCAUCUGCCCCAAAAGGUUGUAGGCACAGCUGUCGUAGCGUUGCCAUAAAGAGUUUGCCAAAUCUCUGAUCCUCCCUUUCCAUUGCUUCUCCUAGUGAUGCACGAAGAUUAGGUGCAUUUAUUUUGUAAACAGAUUGGAGAAUCUAGCAAUAAGAUUCAAAGCUAAUCUGGAGCAUAAAGGCACAGUUCAGAGACAGAAUAACAGGGAUCACAAGCAUGAAUUAAAAGGAAUUUAUUUGCUUCAAGUUCCUAGAUACAACCUUCCCAUGCUGCACUUCUCCACUGUCGGAGCACGUUCCGAAAAACAGAAUGCCUUGAUCCCUGGUGGGUGCGAAGGCAGUUGUUAGGGAUGGCAGGCAUUGGUGGGCUCCAAAAGAUGAAGGCCCCACACACAGGUGUGCUGCAUUUGGGAUCUGUGUGGGUGUUUCUUGGACCCUUUCUUCUGGGAGUAGGGUACACACUAACGUUUAAUCCGCUGUCUGGGUGCAUGUCCACAGUACGGUGGCUAAACUCGAACAUCACUGCAAAUAGGACGCUGAGCAGGUCCGUCUGUCAUGUCACGCCACUGCACAGGUCCUUGUCCCCACACGACGGGGAGUACUUGCGUCAGAUGUUAUUGAAUAGCUCGUCUCGGGCAGGGGAAGCGGGGAGUUGGGGAUAUUAAUUGGGGGUUUUAAUUCUAUUAUCAUGUCAGCUGACAUUAUGACUAUAUAAUGUAGUUAGAGACAAUUUUUAUCUUGCUUAUAGUAAAGGUUCAGCCUGCCAAUUGUAAAUCAUUCUAAUUUGGCAGGCUUAUUUUUGACAUUGGAAAGGGCAGAAAGCGAUUUGCCCCAGUAGUGUAAUAGGAGUUAUAGACCAGAGGCUGAAACCCAAACUAUAUAAAAAGGAAUUCAGUGGAGGGGGCUUUGUAAUCUCCAUUAAUUUGUGUUGCUACUUCCAGGAUCACCAAAAAUUACAUGUAAUUUUACAUGUUAAACACAUUGAAACAUAACCUAUGUUUAUAAAGCAUAACGGGCUUCCCUUCCAGAAGCUCUCCUGCUUGUCAUGAAGUGAGAACAAUGAAAAGUCAUAGCAGAUACUCAGUUUAACUCUGUGUAGAACCUAGUAGUGUUUGAGCUGUUAUUCAGAUUUGAAUUCAGACUGUGUGUUGUUUGCUUAUGGACACUGCCUGUCGUUCUGUCACUGUUAAAUUAAUGAGUCUAUAAGGUUUUUCUUCCAGAGGCCAUAGGUGACAUCACUAAAAUUGCAAGAUAAAUUGUAAUCUUUGCUGCUGCUGCACUCCCCAACCUCUCCCCCACCCCCCGUGGUGUGCUGCUUUCUAGAUGAGCGUGUUUUGGAGCAGGCCCAUCUGGGACACUCUAUGCUUUCACCAAGGAAGUGCGAUCUGAGCAGCCACAAUCCAGCCAAAAGAGGAUCGUAGAUAUUUGCUCUGAUCAACUAGAUGAAAAUAUAGCAGAAUGGAUUUAGCCCACUGCUCUGUUUUAUCCAACUGAGUCUCUGACCAGCAAUUGGUGCAUAAUUAUUACAGCAAAAGUUAAGAAAUGAAACUGUAGCAAUUAUGUAAAUGAAUGUGUUGGCCUCUUAAUACCUGUUACUAGUGGACUUCCUGUGAGGAAGUUAGUUUUUUGUUUUGAUGAAAUGCUUUCGUUUUUUAAAUCUUAAUUCUGCUGUCCACAUCCUCCCAAAGUGUGCUUACUUCAUUUGUUUAAUUUAAAUGAACUUUCCUCCUUGUAUGUAUGAGGUGACUUGGUGGGUGGGGUGGGUGGUUUUUGUUUUUGUGUUUUUUCUUUCUUAGGGCAUCUGUAGGCCUCAAAGGACCUUUCCUUUAGGUCAUAUUCCUCAGAAAGUCUUCAAUCUUCCCUUGUUUUUGUUUGUUUGUUUUUCUUAAAGAAUAUUUUCAAAGCUUAAAUUUGUAUAUUAAUUUAGGACUAUUUAGAAGUAUAGGCUGUCGUUGGCGGCAGCAGUAUAUUCUGAAAUGUCUCAUAGAUAUAUAUUUUUGAAUAAAGAUGGUGUUGUUGAA
rnacentral:lncRNA from 1 species